rnacentral:tRNA from 1 species
GGUGUCAUAGCUCAGUUGGUAGAGCAAAGGACUGAAAAUCCUUGUGUCCCCGGUUCGAUUCCUGGUGGCACCACC